rnacentral:tRNA from 1 species
GCGUCCGUAGCUCAGCUGGAUAGAGUACCUGGCUACGAACCAGGCGGUCAGAGGUUCGAAUCCUCUCGGGCGCGCC